CUGGGUUUAUGCCUUCAAUAUUUCUCUGAGGUACCAUAUUUCAUAGAAGUUCUUGUCGUCAGGGUUACCAUAGUUGGAUCAUAUCUGGAAAGUUUGCCUCCAUCUCUACAAACUCAAGAGUAAGAAAGCGAUAGAGAAAAGGAGCGGACCAACGUGUCACGAGAAGAGAAUGCGUAUCGUGUAAAGAUACAAUAUAUAGCAAUGCUCAAGAUUAUCAGUUAGCGGCACAAGGCCCAAGAGUCAAGCUGGACAAAACAAGGUGAAAACUACUACAUAUCCAGUUCUGCUGAACAAGUUACUCAAGUCCCACAGUCAAGCUCUUUGCGAUCGUUACACGUGCGUGGAAAGCCUGUGAAGAGAAUGGAAGGAUGUCACAAUUAGCAUCCUUGUUUAAAUUACUCAUUGUGAAUUUUAAUAAAGUUUGAAAUCUUAAAUUUGCACUUAAGAAAUGUUAGUCAAUGAAAAUAUUUUAAAUAAAAUUGGUUUGCAUGAUUAGAGUUUUGUGUCUAGUGAGGCCAUGGAAGUUAUUGUUUGAAGCUCAAAAAUCUUGAGAGACCCGCUGUGAUAUGCCCCACGGGGAAUUUAUCUUCAGCUUUGCGGUAAGAAUCAAAGAUACCGGAAAUCCUGAACAUUUCCUUGCCAGAGCAAACGCCUGCUUUACAGAACAUUUUUAGACGUCUUGGACUUGUUUUAUUCGAUCGUUAUUCUAAAGUUGAGGAGCGUCGAAGGGUCUGAUCAAAGAUUUUCCAGGAUGUACAUUAUUUUGUUUUUUGUUCACCUGUUGAUUUGACGAGCUCUUUUGUAUUAGUCGUGAUCUUAAUUUUCUCUUUCAGACGGGGACUGCAAGAAAAUUUCAGGAAGCCAACUCACUACCUCAUUGUUCUAUUGAUAGAAGAAAAGUCCUCUGUAAUGUUUGUUAAAGCUUGCCUCGAUACUUAACAAAUUGCACAAAGAACAAUCAUAUGACAUAUGUCAUCGUUUAAGAUCCAAACACCACUUUAUUAGCGCUUUAGUUUUCUUUCGUUUUCCUUUGACAUUGCUACAAUUUUCAACGCUCGUGUGGAAAGUGUCAGUAUAAAGAUGUUGUAAAAUUUUUUUGUAGUAGUAUUUAAAAUUGAAAUUUAUCUUUUCCAAUUAGUUUUGUUUCGCUCGGGAAGGUGGUAGCUCUUAAUUACGGUUGAAGUCUCAUCCAAAACAGUUAAAGUAACCCAGCAACAAAUGUAAGUGUUAUUCGAAAAGUUCACUUUUGAGUUUGUAAAUUUAUGUUUUAGUUUAACCGCUUAAUAAAUUAACCGUUUAACGGAGUAGCCGCCUGGGCAAAACAUCAAAUAGAGCGCGUAUACAUUUUACUUGCUGAAGGUUGCUUUCAAGAAGAGUACAAAUAGGGACAAAAGAUGAAUAUAAUAAUAAUAAUAGUAGUUUAUUCACAAUUAAUCACACACAGAAAGCAAACAAAACUAACAAACAAUACAUUAACAACAAAAAAUAUAUCAACGAUUGUCAAAGGAGGUAGAAGAGGUUAUCCCUUUCUAGUCCACCUCCUUAACAUAUGUAGCAAUAUUAAAAAAUCCUAAUUACUUAUCUAUAAAUUCAAAAGCUAUGUAAAUGCAAUUGGGUAUACUUAUAAAAUAAAAGUUUAAAAUGGUAAUUAGUCUAAAUCGUGUUUUAAGAAAAUUCAUAAACUAGAUUAUUUCUAAAAUUUCUUUAAGUCUUUUGCUUCAGCGGUCUCUUGUCUUAAAUUGUUCCAUAAAUUAACAAUGCGAAGAAAGAAAGAAUGUUUAUAGCAAUUUAACUUAGCAGAUUUCGUCUUAAGCUUGAAGCGAUGGUUGGAUCUCAGCGGUCUGCAUUUAUCCGCAAAGCUAAGGAAUUCGUAUGGAUUUAGACAAUUCGGUUCAUUUAUUGUCUUGUAGCAUUCAGUGAGUGAUGAUAAAGUUCUCCUUUUUGCUAAUGAUGGCCAUUUAAGUCGUUUCAAUCGAUCUUCAUACGACAUAUCAUUUGCAGUUAUACCAAGCGCAAAUCUGGAAGCUCGUCUUUGGACUUUUUCUAGAGUAGCAAUGUCUUUCUUUAGAUGCGGCGACCGUACUGGGAACUGUGUUCCAGGAUUGGCCUUUCAAGACUUUUGUACAAUUUAAAGAACAAGUCCGGGUUUAUGAGCGUCCUUUCUUUAGAUGCGGCGACCGUACUGGGAACUGUGUUCCAGGAUUGGCCUUUCAAGACUUUUGUACAAUUUAAAGAACAAGUCCGGGUUUUUUGGUCCAACAAUCCGUCUAACAAAGCCAAGAACACUGUUAGCUUUACGUAUGAUGCACGAUCCUUCGCAGUAGAGAGCGCUAUUUAU